rnacentral:ncRNA from 4 species
UGCCCGCAUCCUCCACCA